ACACAUGCAAGUCGAACGAUGAAGCCCAGCUUGCUGGGUGGAUUAGUGGCGAACGGGUGAGUAACACGUGAGUAACCUGCCCUUAACUCUGGGAUAAGCCUGGGAAACUGGGUCUAAUACCGGAUAGGAGCGUCCACCGCAUGGUGGGUGUUGGAAAGAUUUAUCGGUUUUGGAUGGACUCGCGGCCUAUCAGCUUGUUGGUGAGGUAAUGGCUCACCAAGGCGACGACGGGUAGCCGGCCUGAGAGGGUGACCGGCCACACUGGGACUGAGACACGGCCCAGACUCCUACGGGAGGCAGCAGUGGGGAAUAUUGCACAAUGGGCGAAAGCCUGAUGCAGCGACGCCGCGUGAGGGAUGACGGCCUUCGGGUUGUAAACCUCUUUCAGUAGGGAAGAAGCGAAAGUGACGGUACCUGCAGAAGAAGCACCGGCUAACUACGUGCCAGCAGCCGCGGUAAUACGUAGGGUGCGAGCGUUAUCCGGAAUUAUUGGGCGUAAAGAGCUCGUAGGCGGUUUGUCGCGUCUGUCGUGAAAGUCCGGGGCUUAACCCCGGAUCUGCGGUGGGUACGGGCAGACUAGAGUGCAGUAGGGGAGACUGGAAUUCCUGGUGUAGCGGUGGAAUGCGCAGAUAUCAGGAGGAACACCGAUGGCGAAGGCAGGUCUCUGGGCUGUAACUGACGCUGAGGAGCGAAA
rnacentral:rRNA from 1 species